AUUUUGAUCCUGCCGGAGGCCAUUGCUAUUGGGAUCCGAUUUAGCCAUGCUAGUCGUACGAGUUCAGACUCGUGGCGAAUAGCUCAGUAACACGUGGCCAAACUACCCUUCGGAACACAAUACCCUCGGGAAACUGAGGCUAAUAGUGUAUACCACAUCACCACUGGAAUGAGUGAUGUGCCAAACGCUCCGGCGCCGAAGGAUGUGGCUGCGGCCGAUUAGGUAGACGGUGGGGUAACGGCCCACCGUGCCAAUAAUCGGUAUGGGUCAUGAGAGUGAGAACCCAGAGACGGAAUCUGAGACAAGAUUCCGGGCCCUACGGGGCGCAGCAGGCGCGAAACCUUUACACUGCACGACAGUGCGAUAGGGGGAUCCCAAGUGCACAGGCAUAGCGCCUGUGCUUUUCGGUACCGUAAGGUGGUACCAGAAUAAGGGCUGGGCAAGACCGGUGCCAGCCGCCGCGGUAAUACCGGCAGCCCAAGUGAUGGCCGAUCUUAUUGGGCCUAAAGCGUCCGUAGCUGGCCGCGCAAGUCCAUCGGGAAAUCCACCUGCUCAACAGGUGGGCGCCCGGUAGAAACUGCGUGGCUUGGGACCGGAAGGCGCGACGGGUACGUCCGGGGUAGGAGUGAAAUCCCGUAAUCCUGGACGGACCGCCGAUGGCGAAAGCACGUCGCGAGGACGGAUCCGACAGUGAGGGACGAAAGCCAGGGUCUCGAACCGGAUUAGAUACCCGGGUAGUCCUGGCCGUAAACAAUGUCUGCUAGGUGUGGCUCCCACUACGAGUGGGUGCUGUGCCGUAGGGAAGCCGCUAAGCAGACCGCCUGGGAAGUACGUCCGCAAGGAUGAAACUUAAAGGAAUUGGCGGGGGAGCACUACAACCGGAGGAGCCUGCGGUUUAAUUGGACUCAACGCCGGACAUCUCACCAGCAUCGACUGUAAUAAUGACGACCAGGUUGAUGACCUUGUCCGAGUUUCAGAGAGGAGGUGCAUGGCCGCCGUCAGCUCGUACCGUGAGGCGUCCUGUUAAGUCAGGCAACGAGCGAGACCCGCACCCUUACUUGCCAGCAGUACCGCGAGGUAGCUGGGGACAGUAGGAGGACCGCCGUGGCUAACACGGAGGAAGGAACGGGCAACGGUAGGUCAGUAUGCCCCGAAUGUGCUGGGCAACACGCGGGCUACAAUGGUCGAGACAAAGGGUUCCUACUCCGAAAGGAGACGGUAAUCUCAGAAACUCGAUCGUAGUUCGGAUUGUGGGCUGCAACUCGCCCACAUGAAGCUGGAUUCGGUAGUAAUCGCGUGUCACAAGCGCGCGGUGAAUACGUCCCUGCUCCUUGCACACACCGCCCGUCAAAGCACCCGAGUGAGGUCCGGAUGAGGCGUUCCACGAACGUCGAAUCUGGGCUUCGCAAGGGGGCUUAAGUCGUAACAAGGUAGCCGUAGGGGAAUCUGCGGCUGGAUAAU
rnacentral:rRNA from 3 species